GCGGGCGUAGCUCAGUUGGUAGAGCGCCACCUUGCCAAGGUGGCUGUCGACGGUUCGAGUCCGUUCGCCCGCUC
rnacentral:tRNA from 1 species